rnacentral:rRNA from 1 species
GUAGGGAAUAUUGCGCAAUGGGGGAAACCCUGACGCAGCAACGCCGCGUGAGUGAGGAAGGUCUUCGGAUUGUAAAACUCUUUUAUUAGGGAAAAAUGUCUAGGUGGCUAAUAUCCACUUAGAGUGAUGGUACCUAAGGAAUAAGCACCGGCUAACUUCGUGCCAGCAGCCGCGGUAAUACGAAGGGUGCAAGCGUUGUUCGGAAUCAUUGGGCGUAAAGCGCGCGCAGGCGGGUCAGUAAGUCAGGUGUGAAAUCUCGGAGCUCAACUCCGAAACUGCGCCUGAAACUAUUGGUCUAGAGUAUCGGAGGGGACAGGGGAAUUUCACGUGUAGGGGUAAAAUCCGUAGAGAUGUGAAGGAACACCGGAGGCGAAGGCGCCUGUCUGGACGAUUACUGACGCUGAGGCGCGAAAGCGUGGGGAGCAAACAGGAUUAGAAACCCCAGUAGUCC